CUUCUUCCUCCCGCGCGCAACCCCCAUUUCCCCUUCAUUUUCUUUUUCUAUUUUCUCCUUCACCGAUCCCUACCUCCAGCCGCACCCUCCAACCGGCCACCAUCGCUUUCAUCCUUCUUUUCUUCUCCGAUCCACGGUCGCCGCCCCUAUUCUUCUUCCGUUUCUCUUUCUUUUCUACCAUACCCAGCCGCCGCUGCAACCGUCGGCCGCCAUCUCUGUUCGCGAAGCAAGGCCGCCGUGUGACCUUCCGCCCAGCGCCGUGUGACCCUUCGCCCAGCGCCGUUUGACCCUCUGCCCAGCGCCGCGCAACCUCUGUCUCCGCGCCGUCGUCCAGAUCUGCGUCGCCGUGCCCCGUCCUAAUCGCCUCUGUCUCCGUCGAAGCCAAGCCCAGCCGCCGCCCAUUCCUUUCUCCUCCGUUUUCUGCACUGCCGCGCGACUCUCCGUCCGUCUGUAUACAGUCUCUCCGUCGCACGUCGUCUCUUCGCAAAGCUGCUGCUCGACUUCUUCCGCGAAUAACACCUUUGACGUCCGCGCAAUCAGGUUUUAAUUCGCUACCGUGAACCGAACUAAAGACCCCAGAUCCAACUUUCUGCGCGUCGAGUUCCUUCUUCGUCCUGCCGCAGGUAGCAAACCCACGCCAUUCGAUUGGGUUGUUCGCUGUCGUUCCUGCUUUGCCACGAGUCAUUAAAUUUUGAUUGGUUGAAGGUAACACUCGAAUUCAUUGGGUUCGCACCAAACAAUUGAUUCUAGUUGGAACUCGUUUUGUGAAGAUUUGGGUUCGUUCUUCGUAGACUUCAACGUGGUUAAGGAGCUUAACUAACUUGAAAGCAAAGAUAAUAAAGACGGCAAACCGGCGAGGGGCAGAAAGGAAGCGUGAUUGCCAUAGGGGUUAUUUUAAAUUGCUUCCGCUAAAUGUUUUGUUUCACGUGUUUUGUUUAGUACUUGAGAUUGUUUAGAAAAUUUUAUAGUUGAAUUGUAUUCACGAAUUAGUAAAUUUGUCUUGAAGGUGCUGGUUAUUUUAAACAGGGCCCAGAUAUAAAUUUUUGUUUUUCUUGAGACUUUGAAAUUGUUUGAGAUUGAGAUUUUGUGUAAACUCAGGUCCUUAUUUGAAAUUAAUGACUUCGACUUACCUAGAAAAGUUGGGUCGUUACAGUCAUGUUUUUUGAAUU